ACUCAUAAGACUUGUAUGAGAGAGACAGCUGCACCAGAGUUAGGUGUGAGAGCAGAGGCUUUCCAGACAAGGAGACUUUCAUCUUUGAUCCUUCAUGUUAACUGGCAGUAUCUCCAUGUCGAAGUUGGUUGGCACAAACCUUGAAGACUACAGUGUCUACUCUCAUUUAUCUGAUGAGGAGUUGAUUCAACUGGCCAUUGAACGCAGUCUGACUGACACCAAUGGCAAUACUUCUGUGGUUACAUCAAAUCAAUCAGCAUAUGCACUACUUAUAUCAACACAAUCAGAGGUCCGGAAUGAUUAUGCAAUGAGGAGAGAAGCAGUUUUGUGCAUCCCGUACAUCCCUUGACCAGCCAACCCAUCUCAAACUACCAGCCGUCUAAGCUUGUGAGAAGGACAGUGAGACCAUAGUGGAGCUUCUUCUGCGAUCUGGAGCCAACGUCUGUAGAAGCAACAUCGAUGGGUUUGGCUCCCCUACACGAGGCAGCACACACCAGAAACCUGGCCAUGUGCAGGCUACUUGUACACGCUGGAGUAAAGAUAUCGGCUAGAAGUAGUCACGGUAUUGUGCCAGCGUUCACAGCCGCCCAAGCAGGAUGCCCAGAAGUUCUGAACUUCCUCAUUAGACAUGGGGCAAAUAUUAAACACUCACGCUAGCGACGGAGCAACAGCUCUGUAUGAAGCAUCCAAGAAUGGUCAUGAAGAGGUGGUGAAGGUGCUUCUGUCUAAGAGAGCAGAUGUGAACAAAACAACUAAAGCAGGACUAACUCAUCUUCAUGUUGCAUCAAAGAAUGGACUGGAGUUGUAUCCUAACUGAUUCCACACACCAACUUGACUGCUAUAUUUCAGAGUGGCAUUAGUCCACUCCACCUUGCAGCUGAGUGUGAUAGAGAGAAGUUUUUGGA